GUGUUCACUUUGGCAGCACAUUUGCUAAAAUUGGAACGAUACAGAGAAUAACCCGGCCCCUGUGUAAGGAUGGCAUGCAAAUUUGUGAAGUGGUCCAUAUUUUG